AGGGAAUCUUCCGCAAUGGACGAAAGUCUGACGGAGCAACGCCGCGUGAGUGAUGAAGGUUUUCGGAUCGUAAAACUCUGUAGUCAGGGAAGAACAAGUGCCGUUCAAAUAGGGCGGCACCUUGACGGUACCUGACCAGAAAGCCCCGGCUAACUACGUGCCAGCAGCCGCGGUAAUACGUAGGGGGCAAGCGUUGUCCGGAAUUAUUGGGCGUAAAGCGCGCGCAGGCGGUCCUUUAAGUCUGAUGUGAAAGCCCACGGCUUAACCGUGGAGGGCCAUUGGAAACUGGAGGACUUGAGUACAGAAGAGGAGAGUGGAAUUCCACGUGUAGCGGUGAAAUGCGUAGAGAUGUGGAGGAACACCAGUGGCGAAGGCGACUCUCUGGUCUGUAACUGACGCUGAGGUGCGAAAGCGUGGGGAGCGAAC
rnacentral:rRNA from 1 species